GGGUGCGAUCAUACCGGCAUUAAUGCAUCAGAUCCCAUCAGAACUCCGCAGAUAAGUGCGCUUGGGCUAGAGCAGUACUGGGAUAGGUGACCUCCUGGGAAGUCCUAAUGUUGCACCCU
rfam:Picea glauca, whole genome shotgun sequence.